AUGAACGCUGGCGGCGUGCCUAAUACAUGCAAGUCGAGCGAACAGACGAGGAGCUUGCUCCUCUGACGUUAGCGGCGGACGGGUGAGUAACCCGUGGAUAACCUACCUAUAAGACUGGGAUAACUUCGGGAAACCGGAGCUAAUACCGGAUAAUAUAUUUAACCGCAUGGUUCAAUAGUGAAAGACGGUUUUGCUGUCACUUAUAGAUGGAUCCGCGCCGCAUUAGCUAGUUGGUAAGGUAACGGCUUACCAAGGCAACGAUGCGUAGCCGACCUGAGAGGGUGAUCGGCCACACUGGAACUGAGACACGGUCCAGACUCCUACGGGAGGCAGCAGUAGGGAAUCUUCCGCAAUGGGCGAAAGCCUGACGGAGCAACGCCGCGUGAGUGAUGAAGGUCUUCGGAUCGUAAAACUCUGUUAUUAGGGAAGAACAAAUGUGUAAGUAACUAUGCACGUCUUGACGGUACCUAAUCAGAAAGCCACGGCUAACUACGUG
rnacentral:rRNA from 1 species